UACAAGUUCUGAAACUGACAUUGCUUCAGCCAACAUGUGUGUGUUUGUUGGAUUGCAUUCUCAUCCUAGUAGCAGUUCGAUCUGUUUUGUCGAUGAACAUGCAUGCGAGGCUGCAGCAUGGUUAAUGGUGUCGUGGCAGCACUUCACAAUUAAUUAACUACGCUGAGAAACAUUGCAUCUCUUCUCGUCGUGCCCACAUGCUGUGGAACCACCGGCCUGCUCGAGCCGCCUUCACACAGUGCCAACCCCGUGAGAGAAAACUAUGGCUCCGAACUUCCUUCAAUCAUAAUAUGAUUCUUCACAAGAUCAUGAAAUAUUUAUGUCCCCCUGGUUCUUCAUUGGCCAAUUUGUCAAAUUAGGAGUUGAUAUAAACAUCAAUAUGCUCAAGAUUACAAAGAGAUUGCCCAUCUAGGAAAGAAAAGGUGGAUGCCAAAGUGAACAGUCGUGUGAUGUAUGCAGCUGGGAAGCUAAAACGUUUGUAUUGCCAAGAUAAAAUGGAUAAUGCAUGGCUUGGAGGCUGAUUGCAAGGAUGAGAAUGAGGCUACAACUGGAUAAUUAUAAUGUCAUUUUCAGGAUGAUGUUUGAAACGUUAUAGUUGAUUGCAAGGUCCAGAGUUUGGCUACUACUUGAUAGUUUCACAUCUUGUAAUCUCUGGAUCGUGUUCUUUGUAAUGCAACAUAGUUGAUCUAAUAUAUGAGACCUUCUUGU